rnacentral:rRNA from 1 species
UGGGGAAUAUUGCACAAUGGGCGAAAGCCUGAUGCAGCAACGCCGCGUGAGCGAUGAAGGCCUUUGGGUCGUAAAGCUCUGUCCUUGGGGAAGAAACAAAUGACGGUACCACCGAAGGAAGCACCGGCUAACUCCGUGCCAGCAGCCGCGGUAAUACGGAGGGUGCAAGCGUUAAUCGGAAUUACUGGGCGUAAAGCGCACGUAGGCGGCUAAUUAAGUCAAAUGUGAAAUCCCCGAGCUUAACUUGGGAAUUGCAUUCGAUACUGGUUAGCUAGAGUGUGGGAGAGGAUGGUAGAAUUCCAGGUGUAGCGGUGAAAUGCUUAGAUAUAACACAGAACCCCGAUUGCGAAGGCAGCUUACUAAGCUGUUACUGACGCUGAGGCACGAAAGCGUGGGGAUC